UACAGGUCAAAAGUGGAAAUAAAAGAUGAUGUCUGAUGAAUAUCCGAGUGACCUGAGGACCAAGGAGAUGAAAUGAGGCAAAUGAGACGCAACAGAGAGAAUUUGAAAGGUGUGACUCACCUUUAUCUGACGGACUGGACUCACGUCGUCGUCCUACAAAGCCGGUGGUGAUGGCGGUUGCUCAGGCUCGUAGGCCUCCUGUGGUUUCAAACCAGCAUGAUGUUUUCUUCAUGUGGUUGAGGAUUUGUGAAUCAAACAAAGAAUGAAGCAAACUGCCCUCGGAGGAUCGUCUUCAUCAGUUUCUCCCCAGCAUCUCAGACAUCCUCCUGCAGACACACAUCCUGGUUUUACACAGAUGCCGUGAGAAGGAGUCAUGUCUCCCGUGCCGCCACUGAUGAAGACAUCCUGAAGGACGCUAUAAGGGGGUUCAACCUGGCAGCAGAUAGAGGAAGCUCAAGGAAGCGUGCCACUGUCAGCAUCCCUACCCAAGAAGAUUUUAUAGAGGAUUUCAUUGUUACUAGCAGACUCCAUCUUUGGAUAAUAGUGUGAGGGACUUACAGCACAACAGUAUGAAAUGUUCUGAUAACUCUUACACCCAUAACGAAGCUGAAUUAAAUAAC